AUCCUUGUCCAGGAUCCUGUGGGACUCGGAAGCCCCUGCUCCUGCAGCUACUGAGCUCAGGAAGGCUGGCCAGACCUGUGUCCCCUUCAGCUGGUGGUGGCCCUGCCGCCAGGGAGCCAGAUGUCUGAAAGAACUCCACAGCCAGACAGGCCGGCUGCGGAACUGGACUUAGUGAGUCUGCCCCGGGUGGAUGGCCUUCGCUGUCCCCGCUGGGCCACUGAGGUCAACACCGUCAUCUCCAAGAGAAUCUGGGACAAGAAAUUAAAUGGGAAGACGUCAAGUCCCUUGCCUGAAGGCUCCAUACCAGUGUCCAGAGGCGGUACUAUGGAUGGCCUCUGGAUAGGAGGCAUUCUCUAG
ensembl:lincRNA